GUGCUCGCCUGGGUAGCACGUGUGCUGAAAUUGGAACGCUCCAGAGAAGAUUUAGCCUGGCCCCUGCACAAGGAUGACUCACGGAUUCCUGACCCGUGCUCCGAGGCA